rnacentral:lncRNA from 1 species
UUUUCCUCAGCAGUCUUGUCCGGGACCCAGCCCAGUACCCAAGGCUCAACUCCACAUCACUUCCAGGUUCCUGGAAACCAAAGUGAAAAGGGAAACAAUCAGCUACAAGAAACAGUAUUGCACCAUGGUUACAAGAGCAGGUUUUGGCGUAAGACAGCUACUUCCUGACUGCAAGACCUCAGCUGACACAAGGAGGACCAGUGGGUACUGCAAAGAGGCCAGCUCCAGCCCCAGCCCAACAUGGGAAGCAGCUCAGUGCAUCAGUAAGGGAGCAACAUGAAAACACCUCUCAGAUCUUCUGGUUCUGCUGCUUACCUGCUGUGUGUCCUUGAACGAGCUACUUUUCCUGUCUUCUGUGGCUCUGCCUGUUCCCCAAGGAACCACCACUACAUCAAUAUCCUUGGAAAACAAAGAGGAAAAUACAAGCAGCAGUGCAUUACCAUGAAUGACAAGAUAAAGAUGCCCUUGAUUUCCAGCACCGCCACCAUUCAACCAUCAACUACGGGUUCCGAACACUGUGAGAAGAAGAAAGAAAGAAAGAAAAUGGAAAAAGAGAACAGAGAAUUCAAGUAGUGGGAGCUCCAGACAGUCUACAGGAGUCUUGAAGAAAGCGUUCAUGGUAUCGACACCGAUGAAGGUAAACCUUUCUUCCUCCGUGGCCUGAGCAGUCAGCUCAGCCUGCUGUCACUUUGGAGUCAGACACAAAAGAAAAUUCCUCCCGUAGCCCUGUGACUUAGGUCUGUGUGACCUUGAGCAAAGUUAACUUCUGGGAACCUUGGUGUCCUGAGGAAAUGGGCAUCAUAGCUCCUUGCAGGAGCUUGCACACCUAAAUGAAGGCUGCAAGGCUCACAUGAUCUGAGCAGCCUAGGGAGCUGCCCAGAAUCUGAAGCUAAGCCGGUAGACCCUUGACACUAGCUGUGGGCCCUGGACAGUUGCCCGUCCAUGCCUCAGUUUUCUUGUCUAUGAAAUGGGAAUAUUGCUACCUGCUCAAAGGGUCCUGAUGGAGUUUAGAAUAAGCCAAUAGUACAAAGUACUGAAACAAUGCCUGGCAGAAAAGUGCCGUAUGAGCAUUUGUUAAAUUAAAACUUAAUAUGAAAAGGCAAGUGUUUUCUCAUAUCCUCAUAAGAGGGACUCUUUUUUUUUUUUUUUUUUUUUGGUCUUUUUUGUCUUUUUAGGGCUGCACCCGUGGCACAUGGAAGUUCCCAGGCCAGGGUCGAAUCGGAGCUGUAGCUGCCAGCCUGCACCACCGCCACAGCCACAGCCACAGCCACACAGAUCUGAGCCGCAUCUUCGACCUAUACCACAACUCACACAACGCCGGAUCCUGACCCACUAAGCAAGGCUAGGGAUCAAACCCGAAACCUCAUGGUUCCUAGUCGGAUUCGUUUCCCCUGCACCACGACGGUAAACUCCGUAAGAGGGACUCAAGGACUUAGAAGUUGAUCAAAAGAAUUUUGAUUGUAUAAAAUGCAUCAAUGUUGGUUUUAGCAAGGGGAAAUUUGCUUUUCUGACAGAUGCUACAGUCUGAAGAUUCUGGGAGUCUGAGAACUUCCUCCCUGCCUGACUCAGUGUGGACAGAAAGAGAGUUUGAGGAGAGACGGAAGAUUCUGAGGGCUCAGUGACUGGCUGACAGUGAGAAUGUUUUCUUUCUGGUGAUAAAUUGUCAACUGCCCAUCUUUCCAACCUCAUGGGCCUAAGUGGGAGGCGUGGCCAUGCCCAGCUCCUGACUUGGAACAGAUGUUGAGUCAUUCACCUCCACUGACGGGAUUAGGGUUAUUCCAGGCCUAGGACCAGGCAUUCCUGGGCCAUGACCGCAGGUUGUGCUGAUUGAAGUCUAAUUUCUGCAGGCCUCUAGCUCACAUCUGCUGAUCACUGAGCUCUCUCAUUCCUUUGGACAGAAAUAAUAAUAAUAAUGAACACCGGUACGUAUCCGGCUCUCUGCGGCUAGGCAACCAGGAACACAGAGAUGAGCUCAUGGAAAAAUGAGAUUAACAAAUGGAACUUUGCAGUCCUGUUAGGUGGGAGCACGAAAGAGACAUUUCAGAUAACCAGGGGCUGAGUGUAGAAAGUUAAGGAACCUUCUCUGUGUGCUAAGCCUAACUCCAAGAAUGUUGCUUUAUUAACUCAUUGGACCCUUACAGUCACUCAGCGGGGUAGGUGGUCUGGCCCUAAUUUACAGCCAGGGAAAGCAAAGAACAGAGAGGUUAAGCCACUUACUUAAAGUCACACAGCUAGAAGGGGUAGAAUCAAUGUGCAGCCAGACAGUGAGGCUCCAGAACCUGGGCUCUCUGCCUCUCAGCCGGGCUGAGGUGUCCUGGUUGGUGGCCCAUCGCAUUUCACCUUUGGGUCCUCGAUUCCCUCAACAAUGGAAAAGAGAGUGAGAUCUGCCUUGAAUGCUGACCCUGGACCCCUGUCAGGAGAGAGGAUCUCACCUUACCCUCAGGGCCCCGUUGCUCCAGGUUAUUGCUAUGAAUGAAAAAUGACCCCCACCCUAUCAGUAAACAAAGCAGAUUGCAGCCAUCAAACCCUCAGCCAGAGCAGUCCCCCAACUGGGCACCCUGAGGGGAUUUGGGGUGAGAAAGGCAGCAGGGCACACAGUUGAGGUGCAGAGUGAUUUCAGUGAGCUCAGACCCUUGCAUCUUUGCAGAGAGAGAAAAGCAGAGCUAAAUCCAUUAACGGGAGAUGUCCGGUUUUCUUUAAUUACUCGUAAUCUUUUCUUGUUCUAGCUACCUAGUUUUCAUGGCAAAGCUCCUACGUAUCCUGGCUCCUCCCUUACCUCUUUGGAGCCAUCCCUCAGAGCGAUCUGAGACUGUCCUCUUGGCUUAAGUCCUCAGAUUUGACCCCUAACCUGAGAACUUCCAUAUGCUGUGGGUGCAGCCCUAAAAAGACCAAAAAAAAAAAAAAAAAAAAUCACCAAACAAACAAGAGAACUCCAAAUUUCAUAUCAUUUUUACUGUGCCAAAUCGGCCAUGGAACCACUCAAGGCAAAUCCUCGGGCCCCAUAACUCAGAGCUUCUGUUGCAUCAAUGGCCAAAAAAAACUGAGGGCGAGGAAUAAUAAAUAACAAAGAUAAUAGUGGCA